CACAGAGCCUGGAGGUGGCAGCAAUUAGGGAGUGACGAGAUGACAAGAUGUGGGGGUGUCCAGUGGGGGUGAUUCGUUCACGAAAGCAACCCUAUAAGAAACCAUUUAUGUCACUCGGAAUUGCAGAUGAGGAAGCAAAAGCUCUCUUAGCAAGGUUGAAUAACUCGUCUAAGAACAGAUUGCAUCAUGAUGAAGACUGAGGGGCCAUCAAGGAAUGCUGAGUGGUGGAAUGAUGGGAUCAGGACCUCUGAAACACUACACCAGAGUAAAUAAAUGCCCUUGCAUCCUCCAGUUCUUCCUGGAAUCCCGCACCCUCUUCCUGAUUUGAAUGGAAACUCACUCUUACACAAGGGCAUCCUGGAAUCCCGCACCCUCUUCCUGAUUUGAAUGGAAACUCACUCUUACACAAGGGCAUCCUGGAAUCCCGCACCCUCUUCCUGAUUUGAAUGGAAACUCACUCUUACACAAGGGCAUCCUGGAAUCCCGCACUCUCUUCCUGAUUUGAAUGGAAACUCACUCUUACAUGAGGGCACGGCUUCACCUGCUUUGUCUCUUCUGAGGGAUGCUCAUUCUCCCAUCCCCAGUGCCAGCCAAAGAAGUAGCCCCGACAAACAACUUUAAAGUUUCCCAGUUCUGCUUCCAAGCCGUACACUGUUCCAGUCCUAAUAUAAACAUUGCUCCUUUGAAACCCACAUUCUCCUGCCAUAUUCUUUCUUAUAAGUGUCAUUUUCCUGGCUCAUGGAAGAGUUUAGGGCCUGGCUCCAGGUCCUCCCCUUCACCCCAAGACCUACCGUCAUCCUGACUUCUGUGUCUAUGAGGAUGACGUGUCCAACAGUCAAGCUUCAGAGUGACACUCACAGCCAUUCUACUUCAGCUACUCACACCUAUGGCCACACCCUGAUUUUGUCCUCAUCUGAAAUGGUUUCAUCUCCAGAACCUUUAACUCAAUAUGCACGCUCUGACCACAGUGUCUUAUCCUUCCAUGUCUCCAACCUCUUUGCUUUUACUGUGCCUAUUCCCUAAUUUUAAUAAGAUCUCUGGCCAUGUUGCCUCUCCAUUUGUAGUCAUCUCUCAAUCUACUUCUUUCUCAAUUUCCUUCUCCAAUCAGUCUAGAAAACAAAAUAUAUUACUUCA
rnacentral:lncRNA from 10 species